rnacentral:rRNA from 1 species
UGCGCGAUUGAAUGAGCCGAUGUCGGAUUAGCUUGUUGGCGGGGUAAAGGCCCACCAAGGCGACGAUCCGUAGCUGGUCUGAGAGGAUGAUCAGCCACACUGGAACUGAGACACGGUCCAGACUCCUACGGGAGGCAGCAGUGGGGAAUAUUGGACAAAGGGCGCAAGCCUGAUCCAGCCAUACCGCGUGGGUGAAGAAGGCCUUCGGGUUGUAAGCCCUUUUGUUGGGAAAGAAAUCCAGCUGGCUAAUACCCGGUUGGGAUGACGGUACCCAAAGAAUAAGCACCGGCUAACUUCGUGCCAGCAGCCGCGGUAAUACGAAGGGUGCAAGCGUUACUCGGAAUUACUGGGCGUAAAGCGUGCGUAGGUGGUCGUUUAAGUCCGUUGUGAAAGCCCUGGGCUCAACCUGGGAACUGCAGUGGAUACUGGGCGACUAGAAUGUGGUAGAGGGUAGCGGAAUU